rnacentral:rRNA from 1 species
GCUAUACAUGCAAGUCGAGCGAACUGAUUAGAAGCUUGCUUCUAUGACGUUAGCGGCGGACGGGUGAGUAACACGUGGGCAACCUGCCUGUAAGACUGGGAUAACUUCGGGAAACCGAAGCUAAUACCGGAUAGGAUCUUCUCCUUCAUGGGAGAUGAUUGAAAGAUGGUUUCGGCUAUCACUUACAGAUGGGCCCGCGGUGCAUUAGCUAGUUGGUGAGGUAACGGCUCACCAAGGCAACGAUGCAUAGCCGACCUGAGAGGGUGAUCGGCCACACUGGGACUGAGACACGGCCCAGACUCCUACGGGAGGCAGCAGUAGGGAAUCUUCCGCAAUGGACGAAAGUCUGACGGAGCAACGCCGCGUGAGUGAUGAAGGCUUUCGGGUCGUAAAACUCUGUUGUUAGGGAAGAACAAGUACGAGAGUAACUGCUCGUACCUUGACGGUACCUAACCAGAAAGCCACGGCUAACUACGUGCCAGCAGCCGCGGUAAUACGUAGGUGGCAAGCGUUAUCCGGAAUUAUUGGGCGUAAAGCGCGCGCAGGCGGUUUCUUAAGUCUGAUGUGAAAGCCCACGGCUCAACCGUGGAGGGUCAUUGGAAACUGGGGAACUUGAGUGCAGAAGAGAAAAGCGGAAUUCCACGUGUAGCGGUGAAAUGC